rnacentral:rRNA from 1 species
AACGAACGCUGGCGGCAUGCCUAACACAUGCAAGUCGAACGCGUGGCUUCGGCCACGAGUGGCGCACGGGUGAGUAGCGCGUGGGAACCUGCCCUUCGGUACGGAAUAACCUCGGGAAACUGUGGCCAAUACCGUAUACGCCCCAUGGGGGGAAAGAUUUAUCGCCGAAGGAGGGGCCCGCGUCCGAUUAGGUAGUUGGUGAGGUAACGGCUCACCAAGCCUUCGAUCGGUAGCUGGUCUGAGAGGAUGAUCAGCCACACUGGGACUGAGACACGGCCCAGACUCCUACGGGAGGCAGCAGUGGGGAAUAUUGGACAAUGGGGGAACCCUGAUCCAGCAAUGCCGCGUGAGUGAUGAAGGCCUCGGGUUGUAAAGCUCUUUCGCCUACGACGAUGGUGACGGUAGUAGGAGAAGAAGCCCGGCUAACUUCGUGCCAGCAGCCGCGGUAAU